UGAACAUAUACGAGAUUUUAAUGAGGAUGAAUAAUUAGCCGGCAUGGAGGAAACGGACCUUUAUUUGGUGGAGUGGCGACAAGGAGCCAAAAGGCGGGUGGCCGGUCUAUGAAGCCUCCAUCAUCAAGCUAGCAGCCCAUGAAAUCGAACGCAGAUCUUCCUGAUGUGAGAUUUACAUAAAUAUGUCAAAGUCUCAACCUCAUGCUGCCCUCCCCA